CUACGGGAGGCUCCAGUGGGGAAUAUUGGACAAUGGGGGAAACCCUGAUCCAGCAAUGCCGCGUGUGUGAAGAAGGCCUGCGGGUUGUAAAGCACUUUCGGUUGGGAGGACUGCUUCUAGCACUAAUAUUGUCGGAAGUUGACGUUACCUUCAGAAGAAGCACCGGCUAACUCCGUGCCAGCAGCCGCGGUAAUACGGAGGGUGCAAGCGUUAAUCGGAAUUACUGGGCGUAAAGCGCGCGUAGGCGGCUAGAUCAGUCGGGUGUGAAAGCCCCGGGCUUAACCUGGGAACUGCAUCCGAUACUGUCUAGCUUGAGUACAGGAGAGGAGAGUGGAAUUCCACAUGUAGCGGUGAAAUGCGUAGAUAUGUGGAGGAACACCAAUGGCGAAGGCAGCUCUCUGGCCUGAUACUGACGCUGAGGUGCGAAAGCGUGGGGUGCAAACAGGAUUAGAUACCCCUGUAGUC
rnacentral:rRNA from 1 species